rnacentral:lncRNA from 1 species
GAAAAUUCCUACUCUUAUGAAAACAAAUGGACUAUAAUUUUCACCAGUAUCUCAGUACAGCAGUAAUGUUAAUCCGGCAGCACACACAGGAAGCAAGCUAAGUGCAGUUGGGAGAUUGCAGAUGGGUGUGAGCCACAAACACACACCAUUCCUGAAAGAAGUAGGGAACAACAAGGGCUGCAUAUUGGAGGAAAACAAAACAAAACACUGUUACCUACCCGGAUCUGCCUUCCAGCACAUUCGGUACAAAC